UACAGAGGGUGCGAGCGUUGUCCGGAAUCACUGGGCGUAAAGGGCGCGUAGGUGGCGACCCAAGUCGAUGGUGAAAGCUCGCCGCUCAACGGCGAGUCGGCCACCGAUACUGGGUUGCUGGAGCACUGUAGAGGCUCAUGGAAUUCCGGGGUGUAGCGGUGGAAUGCGUAGAGAUCCGGAAGAACACCGGUGGCGAAGGCGGUGAGCUGGGCAGUU
rnacentral:rRNA from 1 species